GAGAAAUAGAGAGAGAGAGAGAGAAGGGGUUUGUUUGUGCUAUUCUUUUAUCUUCAUCGCCAUCUUCAUUGUCAUAAUCAUCAUUGCCAUUUUCUUGCAUUUCUUUAGUUUCUUUCCCAACAGAAGUCGCGUUCCAGUUCAACUCUCUCUCCCUUCAUUUUAGGGCAUCUAAUUUACAUUUCCCCAAAAAAUUCGAAUAUCUAAAAAAGCACGGAAAAAAAAAACCAGCUAAACAGCGAAUUAAUUAAGGGGGAAAAAGAAGAACAACCCAACAGCAAAUAGAUCAAAGAUAACGAAGAAAUUAAUUAUCCCAGAUCUUGCCGUUCCGUCUCGAGAACCAGCUUCGAUCGAUCAUUUUUCUGACCUCAGCACGUUCAAUUAUUGUUGUAAUGCGUUUUCUUGAUUGUUCCUUUGCGCUGGGAGGAAUUGGAUUCAUUGUGUAGGUGACCUUCUAGAUUAGAUUAGAAAUCUAGAAGGGUCGGAUCUGGUGCGUGAAAGAGCAAAGCAAGGGGUCGUUGAACGGCGGAUGAGAGAUAGAGGCAGAGAAGGCGCAUCCAGGGACCAACGAUGAAAUGGGUAUCAUUGCUUAAGGACAUAAAAGAGAAGGUCGGGUUAACUCAAUCUCCACCUACCAGUUCAUCAUCCACUGCUGGCUCUUCUUCUUCCUCUGCUCUUCUAUCUAAUCGCGAAUCCAAUGCUUCUCCUACCAGUCUUCAUGACUUCACCUCGCCUUCUGCCAGAGACAGACAUGAAUUGGAAUUGGACUUCAAAAGAUUUUGGGAGGAGUUCCGUUCA
rnacentral:misc_RNA from 1 species